rnacentral:misc_RNA from 1 species
GUAGGUGAACCUGCGGAAGGAUCAUUAAUGAGUUAGGGUCUUCCAGGCCUGAUCUCCAACCCUUUGUAUAACCACCAUGUUGCUUUGGCGGGCCCGUCUUUCACCGGACCGCCGGGGGUCUUUUUAACCUCUGGCCAGUGCUCGUCAGUAGCCUUAACAAACUCAUUUUAACCAUGUUAAAUCUGAAUAAUAGUUAAAUAAACUAAAACUUUCAACAACGGAUCUCUUGGUUCUG